UUAUAAUAUUAACUAUUAAGUAAAUUUAUUUAUGUCCCUAUUCGUAAUUUGAUACUUAAAAGCACUUUCUGAAAAGCUUGGCCAACAUAGAGGCCAAGCGUUCUGCUUCUUAGAAUAUUGUUUCUCAAGUGGUCGUGCUCCUCCGAGGUGAGGCUCCAAUACAUGGUUAGAUUCGAAGUCUUAAAAUUUGAUUGCAUUGAAUCAACGACUUACUACCAUAUUAUUUUGAUGAGAUAAUUGGUAAUUGUUUAUGAUGUAAACUGCAAAAGAAAUCUGGGAUGCAGAAUUGGUGUAAAAUAAAAAGAUGAAAUGGUUGUUGCUCAGUAGACUGACCAUUUUGUUUAAAGUUUUACCUUUGUUCUUGAUACGAGCAGACACAAGGCUGUCUGAUAAUAAAAUAAUGCAUUUGGAGUGCUGAAAAUUAUUUCCAAUGCUUUAGUGGAUUCACUUAUUCUUGGCAAAUUACCAAGAUACAAGAAAAUCAUCUAUAAAAGAAGAGCUAUGUGUUUUUCUCUAUCAAGUGAAGUGUUAAUUCACUUUGGAUAACUGAUAUCUAUUCAAGGACUUAAGAAGAAUGGAUAUUUUCCUUUCUGUUAACUAGAGGGUCAAAACAUCACUAUUGUAACAAAGAUCUUGAAUCACUUACCAAUUGUGAUGGAUGAAAGAAGGUCGUUCCAGGUUAUAUUUGUCGAAUAUGCUUGAUACCAGCUGAUAUGAAAUAUGAUAAUUUGGCUCCAAGUAGAUAGAUAAUUUCAGAUGCAUCUUAUUGACCAUAUUUUCUUAUCUUAACAUGGCUUUUCAUUAUAAUUAGUUGUCAUGUUUUAGAUUGGUGUGUAACAGUUCAGUUGUUUUUUCCUUUUGGAAAAAUAAAGCUGAUGUUGAACAAAUUCAGAAGUGAACAACAUCCUAUAAAUGUGGCUACUCACUGGAUAUUUCUACUGAUAUAUCAAGGAGGUUAUAUUUUUUUGCAUAAGAUGAUUGAGCCUCCUAUAUAUCAUGGUGAUAUCAAUUCUGUCGUUAUACUCUCCACAAAGAACAUUGAAUCCCACAUGUGAUCAAAAAGUUAUUAGAUGUUUAUAUGACACUGAUAAUCUUACAUCUUCCUUUUAACACAACAUUUAGUUUACUGAUUUGAGUAUAACGAAUCAGCUUGAAAUCUUUUUAGCUGGCCAUGGUAGUUCUAGAAGAAUUGAAUAUUUGGCCUAAAGUAAUCAAGAAGCUGGAGAUUUCAUCUUUAUGCAAGAACUCGAAGGUAAGGAACUACAUUUUAGAUGAACUCAACACCAUUGCCAGGAAAUAUCAAGUAUUAAUAUUACCAAUUUUAAUUUCCUCCAUUCUAAGUUUCCAUCUGAUUUGAAAAAUACUUGCAUAGCGUUAUUUCUUUGAAAUAUGACGCACUAUGCAUAUGGAGCUAAAUCUCUUUGCGAUUGCAAGAGAUUUAGUUAUGCCCACACUAAAACUGAAAAAGUCACAACUGGUUCACCAUUAUAAGGUACUUGCCAAAUGUAUCCUCUCUUUUAUAACAAUAAUUGUUAUUUUUUCUACCUCACAACUUGCUAACAUUUUGUAGUUUAGAGCUUUUGAGAUUGACAAAGAGAACAUUGGCUCUUUUGAGCAUUUGUGAUGGGUUAAGUUAUAGAGCAAAAAAAUUAGAAGAAGAAUAAAAUGAUUCUUCUAUGAUUGAGGACAAUCUUUUGUGGACGAAGGGUGGAAACACACUGCUUUAAUUGAGUCCAUUAUACCAUCUACAGUUUGAUAGCAGACACAAGAAGGGAAAGAACAUCAAUUCAGCUCUUUGUCAGGGGCUGGGUUCAAAAGUAUAUAAUUUCUUGAUUAAUAACUGGAAGUCCAGCACCCUUCCAGCCUAACAUUUGUUGGUGAAGAUGACACAUAUUCAUGAACCCGCGUAUAACUGCAGGAAACAAAUAGAGAAUCACAGAUAGCACUUCUUUCAAUAAGACAUGGAGCAAAUAUGGAAGUUGAUGCUGGUAAGACAACGCGGGGAUUUAAAUCACCUGGUGUCAUUAGCCAAUCAACAUAUUCAAGACGAACUAUGUAAAUGGUCGAUGUGAGGUGUGCUCAAAUUUGUAAAGGUGGCUGCUCCUGAUGCUUCUUUAGUGAGAUGAAUGCUAUUAGUUUUCCUUUAUAGACACAAGGCUAAGUAGCUAUUGAGCUUCGAAAUUAGCUUAGAGUUUGGAUAGGAGAAUGGACUGCAAUUUGAUCUCCUAAAUCAGCUGCUUAAAACAUUCUUUGUUGGUAUAUUGGUAGAGACGAUUCUUACUUCCUUUAAACCCCACAUACCUUUACGAUUGCAGAAACAAAAUUUUAAGUUUA